rnacentral:rRNA from 1 species
UACGAAGGGGGCUAGCGUUGCUCGGAAUCACUGGGCGUAAAGCGCACGUAGGCGGCUUUCUAAGUCAGGGGUGAAAUCCUGGAGCUCAACUCCAGAACUGCCUUUGAUACUGGAGAGCUUGAGUCCGGAAGAGGUGAGUGGAACUCCGAGUGUAGAGGUGAAAUUCGUAGAUAUUCGGAAGAACACCAGUGGCGAAGGCGGCUCACUGGUCCGGUACUGACGCUGAGGUGCGAAAGCGUGGGGAGCAAACAGGA